rnacentral:rRNA from 1 species
ACUCCUACGGGAGGCAGCAGUGGGGAAUAUUGGACAAUGGGCGAAAGCCUGAUCCAGCCAUGCCGCGUGUGUGAAGAAGGUCUUCGGAUUGUAAAGCACUUUAAGUUGGGAGGAAGGGCAGUAAGUUAAUACCUUGCUGUUUUGACGUUACCAACAGAAUAAGCACCGGCUAACUUCGUGCCAGCAGCCGCGGUAAUACGAAGGGGUGCAAGCGUUAAUCGGAAUUACUGGGGCGUAAAGCGCGCGUAGGUGGUUCAGCAAGUUGGAUGUGAAAUCCCCGGGGCUCAACCUGGGAACUGCAUCCAAAACUACUGAGCUAGAGUACGGUAGAGGGUGGUGGAAUUUCCUGUGUAGCGGUGAAAUGCGUAGAUAUAGGAAGGAACACCAGUGGCGAAGGCGACCACCUGGACUGAUACUGACACUGAGGUGCGAAAGCGUGGGGAGCAAACAGGAUUAGAUACCCCUGGUAGGAUAGCG